GCUCAGCUGGUAAAGCACAAAGUUGUUAACCUUGUGGACAUGGGUUCAAUCCCCAU
rfam:Triticum aestivum genome assembly, contig: Triticum_aestivum_CS42_TGACv1_scaffold_003630_1AL